UACGUAGGGUGCGAGCGUUGCCCGGAUUUAUUGGGCGUAAAGGGCGCGUAGGCGGCCACGCACGUCCGUUGUGAAAUCGCCCGGCUCAACUGGGCGGGGUCAGCGGAUACGGUGUGGCUCGAGCAAGCUAGGGGGCAAUGGAAUUCCCGGUGUAGAGGUGAAAUUCGUAGAUAUUCGGAGGAACACCAGUGGCGAAGGCGGCUCACUGGUCCGGUACUGACGCUGAGGUGCGAAAGCGUGGGGAGCAAACAGG
rnacentral:rRNA from 1 species